CCUACGGGAGGCAGCAGUGAGGAAUAUUGGUCAAUGGGCGCGAGCCUGAACCAGCCAAGUCGCGUGAAGGCUGACUGCCCUACGUGUUGUAAACUUCUUUUAUAAAGGAGUAAAGUGAGGCACGUGUGCCUUUAUGUAUGUACUUUAUGAUUCCGGCACGGCUAACUCCGUGCCAGCAGCCGCGGUAAUCCGGAGGAUCCGAGCGUUAUCCGGAUUUAUUGGGUUUAAAGGGAGCGUAGAUGGGUUGUUAAGUCAGGUGUGAAAGGUUGCGGCUAAACCGUAAAAUUGCAAUUGAUACUGGCAGGCUGGAGUACAGUUGAGGUAGGCGGAAUUCGUGGUGUAGCGGUGAAAUGCUUAGAUAUCACGAAGAACGCCGAUGGCGAAGGCAGCUUACUAAACUGCCACUGACAUUGAUGCUCGAAAGUGUGGGGAUCAAACAGGAUUAGAUACCCCUGUAGUC
rnacentral:rRNA from 1 species